rnacentral:rRNA from 1 species
GAUGAACGCUGGCGGCAUGCCUAAUACAUGCAAGUCGAACGAGAGGAAGCAAGCUUGCUUGUGGAAUCUAGUGGCGAACGGGUGAGUAACACGUAGGUAACCUGCCCCAACGACCGGGAUAACGAUUGGAAACGAUAGCUAAUACCGGAUAGGUGGCACCUUCGCAUGAAGGGGCCAUUAAAGUUGCUAUGGCAGCACGAUGGGAUGGACCUGCGGUGCAUUAGCUAGUUGGUACGGUAACGGCGUACCAAGGCGAUGAUGCAUAGCCGACCUGAGAGGGUGAACGGCCACAUUGGGACUGAGACACGGCCCAGACUCCUACGGGAGGCAGCAGUAGGGAAUUUUUCG